GGAAAAUACUGCAUCAGAUAGUAUGAGAUCUAGAAACAAGCUCUUGGUCAGGCUGGAGGUUUGUUGGUGUUGCUUGCAAGUCAUUCCACCCUUCUUUGCUCCAGUUUCUCAGAGAUUUGGCCUCACAGGGCCUCUGCAAGCCCCAAGUGGUUGGAGGGAAGUUGGAUAAUUGCUUAACAUUUUGGCAGCUGGUGGCUGGCCCGGCUCAGUAGCAAUGAGAACCAGCAGUGGUGGUGGUGGUGGACCCACCAGCUAGCAGUCACUGAAUAAGGGUCAGACUCAUGGACCUCCACAGCCAUGUCCUUGGUGAGUUGCAGCCGGCCCCACAGGGUUGGGAGCCAUCCCAAAGGGAGCUGGCCUGAAAGAGCCCUCAGCAGGACCUUGACUCGUCUCUCCACUUCUGUGGACAGGUGGAAGGAGCUUUCCAAGUGCAACAACUAUCCCAGGAAGAGGUGUCUACUGGACAUGCAUCUUGUGCAUGUGGAGAGAAAUGGCUUGGCCUUUGCACACAACAUCCGUAUUUCUGUCUGGCAGGUGACCGCUGCAUUACUAGUGGAAAAUAUCUGAAGCAGUUUAACAAAUGGCUGCUAAGAGACCUUCUGAGGAGGACUGGACCUUUAUGAAGCUGCCUUUUGCAAAAGUAUGAUGAAAACAAUUUAUAUCUACUUUCAUAUUAUGUAUGUAUAGUUGUGCUUUAAGGGCUUUGAAAUGAUCCACAUUAUUUUCAGUCCUGGUGGAAUUGUAAUCAAAAACCUAUAGCAUACGUUUAUUUGAAAAAGUUAUACCAGAAUAAUUGUUACUGUGACUCACAGAUGAUUCCAGCGUAAGUCAGUUUUUUUCCAUAUACUCACUCUCAUUUUAUUCAUUUUUUUGCUUUUGCCUUCU